rnacentral:tRNA from 1 species
CGGCGCCGCGGAGCGGGGUGCCGCCGAGCGCUCGGCGCGCUCGUCACGACCGCGGUUCGCGCCCGCGGACGCCGCC